AUUGAACGCUGGCGGAAUGCUUUACACAUGCAAGUCGAACGGUAGAGGGGGGCAACCCCUCGAGAGUGGCGAACGGGUGAGUAAUAUAUCGGAACGUGCCCAGUCGUGGGGGAUAACGUAGCGAAAGUUACGCUAAUACCGCAUACGAUCUACGGAUGAAAGCGGGGGAUCGCAAGACCUCGCGCGAUUGGAGCGGCCGAUAUCAGAUUAGGUAGUUGGUGAGGUAAAGGCUCACCAAGCCAACGAUCUGUAGCUGGUCUGAGAGGACGACCAGCCACACUGGAACUGAGACACGGUCCAGACUCCUACGGGAGGCAGCAGUGGGGAAUUUUGGACAAUGGACGCAAGUCUGAUCCAGCCAUUCCGCGUGCAGGAUGAAGGCCCUCGGGUUGUAAACUGCUUUUGUACGGAACGAAAAGGUUUCUAUUAAUACUAGGAGCUCAUGACGGUACCGUAAGAAUAAGCACCGGCUAACUACGUG
rnacentral:rRNA from 1 species